rnacentral:rRNA from 1 species
AUGAACGCUGGCGGCGUGCCUAAUACAUGCAAGUCGCGCGCACAGACGAGGAGCUUGCUCCUCUGACGUUAGCGGCGGACGGGUGAGUAACACGUGGAUAACCUACCUAUAAGACUGGGAUAACUUCGGGAAACCGGAGCUAAUACCGGAUAAUAUAUUGAACCGCAUGGUUCAAUAGUGAAAGACGGUUUUGCUGUCACUUAUAGAUGGAUCCGCGCCGCAUUAGCUAGUUGGUAAGGUAACGGCUUACCAAGGCAACGAUGCGUAGCCGACCUGAGAGGGUGAUCGGCCACACUGGAACUGAGACACGGUCCAGACUCCUACGGGAGGCAGCAGUAGGGAAUCUUCCGCAAUGGGCGAAAGCCUGACGGAGCAACGCCGCGUGAGUGAUGAAGGUCUUCGGAUCGUAAAACUCUGUUAUUAGGGAAGAAAAAAUGUGUAAGUAACUAUGCACGUCUUGACGGUACCUAAUCAGAAAGCCACGGCUAACUACGUG